rnacentral:rRNA from 1 species
UACGGAGGGUGCGAGCGUUAAUCGGAAUUACUGGGCGUAAAGCGCGCGUAGGCGGUUCGAUAAGUCAGAUGUGAAAUCCCCGGGCUCAACCUGGGAAUGGCAUUUGAUACUGUCAGACUGGAGUGUGGUAGAGGGAAGUGGAAUUCCGCAUGUAGCGGUGAAAUGCGUAGAGAUGCGGAGGAACACCAGUGGCGAAAGCGGCUUCCUGGACCAACACUGACGAUGAGGUGCGAAAGAGUGGGGAGCAAACAGG